rnacentral:misc_RNA from 1 species
AAUUAAACAGUAUUAUAUUAUGCAGAUAUUUUUUGUAGUGCUCUAUUUUCUCAAUUUGUGAUUUUAUCCUUUAUUAUUAUCUCGUUGUAUUUUAAGAUUUUCAUUGAAAUCUGUUAAAUAUCAAAACGUAAGAAUACUUAAGGUGACAAUAACUAUCACAUACUAGUUCACACGACAAUAUAAGUCUAAUCGAGCUUGGACACUGUUACAGAAUGUGUUGUUCUGUUUAAUUUUGUUAGACAGCAUUUAUUUCUAUAUUAUAAAAAAAAAAACAAUGCCACUAGUACUUUAAGAAGAGGAAGAUCAUGUCAAUUUGUACAUGUUAAAUAGAAAAUUAUUUUUAAUAAAAAUCAAGCAAAUUAUAUUAGAAUAAAAAAUGUUUUUUUGUAAAAGAUAUUGUAUCGUCUAACGGCAUCUAUUAUUAUUGUAUCAAAUAAUUCCAAGAUCAACGAAAGGUUAUAAGUCGGUAAAAAAGCGUACGUACCUAAUGGUAAGCGAUUACCAUCUGAUACAAGCAUCGCAAGCGCGUUGUCGACCCUUCCUGGGGAUCCAUCCUCCCAGGAGCUCUAGUCACUUUACUUACCACAAGAACACAACACUGCUUGAAAGCAGUAUUAUUUAGGUGUGAUCUUCUGGAAGGUCCGAUGUACUGCCGCAGUCGGGCCGCUUCAGAUUUUAAGCAGGAUAUGUCCUGCUGUUCCCUACCUCAGAUACGUCACAUCACGCAAUCAAACAAUUCAAUGUUAUCAAAAUGUUCUUAAGUAUUUAAAAUAUAUUGGAAGUAAGUAUAUAAUAUGGAAUCGUUUCUGUUUCCUAUAUUAUAACCGAAAUAAUUACCAGUUUACAUUUAUUUCAGUUCUUCAUUUCGCAAUAUUUAAACGAAAGGGAC